rnacentral:misc_RNA from 1 species
AACGCACAUUGCGCCCCCUGGCAUUCCAGGGGGCAUGCCUGUCCGAGCGUCAGUAACGCCCGUCGAGCCUCUCCAGGCUUGGUCUUGGACCCCGCGGCCCCGCGGGUCCCAAAUCCAGUGGCAGCGCCGCAAGGCCCCCGAGCGCAGUAGAGAUGCCUCGCUCCGGGUGCUCGCGGCCGCUGGCCAGCUCCUAACCUCUAAGGUUGACCUCGGAUCAGGCAGGAAUACCCGCUGAACUUAA